AAGAGAAACUCCCAUCAGAUCAUCUUCGACACCAACAUGUUCUCUGUAGCUCUGCUGCUGCUGCUUCUGGCUGCUGCAUCCUGUGUGAAGUGUGAGCAGCUGACACAGCCAGCCUCUGUGACUCUGCAGCCAGGUCAACGUCUGACCAUCAGCUGUCAGGUCUCUUAUUCUCUGGGCACCUGGACAGCUUGGAUCAGACAGCCUGCUGGAAAAGGACUGGAAUGGAUCGGAGUGAAAGGCACUGGCUAUACAUCCUACAAAGAUUCACUGAAGAACAAAUUCAGUAUCGACUUAGACACUUCCAGUAAAACAGUGACUCUGAAUGGACAGAAUAUGCAGCCUGGAGACUCUGCUGUGUAUUUCUGUGCCAGAGACUCACAGUGACACAAACA